UACCUACGGGUGGCAGCAGCCGCGGUAAUACGUAGGGGGCAAGCGUUAUCCGGAUUCAUUGGGCGUAAAGCGCGCGUAGGCGGCUUGUUAAGUCAGAUGUGAAAACCGGGGGCUCAACCCGCGGCCUGCAUCUGAAACUGGCAGGCUUGAGUCUGGUAGAGGAAAGUGGAAUUCCUGGUGUAGCGGUGAAAUGCGCAGAUAUCAGGAGGAACACCAGUGGCGAAGGCGGCUUUCUGGGCCACGACUGACGCUGAGGCGCGAAAGCUAGGGGAGCGAACAGGAUUAGAUACCCGGGUAGUCC
rnacentral:rRNA from 1 species